UCGGUUCCGGUUCACGCAUUCCACGCUCGCGCGCGGAUGCGACCCGGCGACC
rfam:Nocardia soli strain Y48, complete genome.